ACGAUGUUCCGCUACAAUGAGUGAUAUGUAAGAGCAUCUG
rfam:Bacillus shackletonii strain LMG 18435 super11, whole genome shotgun sequence.